rnacentral:tRNA from 1 species
GUUCCCAUAGUUAAAGUAUUAUAACGACAAUUUUUCAGAUUGUAGAUCUCGGAUAGAGGCCGGGUGGGAAUU